ensembl:lncRNA MAP9-AS1 MAP9 antisense RNA 1
UAUUCAGUCCAGGUUUAAGUCCUUCAGCAUCUGACAUUCUCCUGGCAACUGUAAUUGAAUCAAUGAUGACUCAUCUGAGAUGAGCAAGUUGGUCCAGUCAGACCAAACAAAAGACAUUCUAUAAUCAGGGGAGAAGUCUUCUCUAUAUCUCUCUUAUAUGAGCAAAGGUCUUGACAGAACUUGGCAGUCUCUGAGGCUACAGAGAAGUGUGAAAAAGAGCAUAGAGAUUUCAGAAGGAGGCAGAUUCAGUCAGACGUACUGAAUCCCGUUUGAUCUCAACUCAGGCACACUCCAGAUGGACGUAUUGAACAGCACACUGGAGUUUUUGUCCAGAAGUUUGACUUUAGAAGAUAAGAAAUAACUGAGCGUAUUACAAGCAGGAGUUAGAGGAAGAGACUCAGUACAGAAGAGACAGGAACAAAAGUUCACCUCCAUUCAAUGGGAAAGGAUACAGAUCAAGAGUUCAGGAAAAGUAGGAGAAAGAAGCUCUAUUCCAGAAGCAGUCUGGAGCACAAAGAAUCCCUAAUCACUGACAUUAAGAAAGAAGAAAAAUAUUCCUAGGACGAUCCUGGAGAGCAAAGGUCAUCAGCAGUCACUUGACUUUCCUUGGAUUUCUCAACUGCAGUAGUCACAUGGUCUGCUG